AGUUAAGGCUGAGGCGUGAUGACGAGGCACCACGGUGCUGAAGUGACAAAUGCCCUGCUUCCAGGAAAAGCCUCUAAGCAUCAGGUAACAUCAAAUCGUACCCCAAACCGACACAGGUGGUCAGGUAGAGAAUACCAAGGCGCUUGAGAGAACUCGGGUGAAGGAACUAGGCAAAAUGGUGCCGUAACUUCGGGAGAAGGCACGCUGACAUGUAGGUGAAGCCCCUGCGGGUGGAGCUGAAGUCAGUCGAAGAUACCAGCUGGCUGCAACUGUUUAUUAAAAACACAGCACUGUGCAAACACGAAAGUGGACGUAUACGGUGUGACGCCUGCCCGGUGCCGGAAGGUUAAUUGAUGGGGUUAUCGCAAGAGAAGCUCCUGAUCGAAGCCCCGGUAAACGGCGGCCGUAACUAUAACGGUCCUAAGGUAGCGAAAUUCCUUGUCGGGUAAGUUCCGACCUGCACGAAUGGCGUAAUGAUGGCCAGGCUGUCUCCACCCGAGACUCAGUGAAAUUGAACUCGCUGUGAAGAUGCAGUGUACCCGCGGCAAGACGGAAAGACCCCGUGAACCUUUACUACAGCUUGACACUGAACAUUGAGCCUUGAUGUGUAGGAUAGGUGGGAGGCUUUGAAGCGUGGACGCCAGUCUGCGUGGAGCCGACCUUGAAAUACCACCCUUUAAUGUUUGAUGUUCUAACCUGGCGCCGUGAUCCGGCGUGGGGACAGUGUCUGGUGGGUAGUUUGACUGGGGCGGUCUCCUCCCAAAGUGUAACGGAGGAGCACGAAGGUCAGCUAAUCCUGGUCGGACAUCAGGAGGUUAGUGCAAUGGCAUAAGCUGGCUUGACUGCGAGAGUGACGGCUCGAGCAGGUGCGAAAGCAGGUCAUAGUGAUCCGGUGGUUCUGUAUGGAAGGGCCAUCGCUCAACGGAUAAAAGGUACUCCGGGGAUAACAGGCUGAUACCGCCCAAGAGUUCAUAUCGACGGCGGUGUUUGGCACCUCGAUGUCGGCUCAUCACAUCCUGGGGCUGAAGUAGGUCCCAAGGGUAUGGCUGUUCGCCAUUUAAAGUGGUACGCGAGCUGGGUUUAGAACGUCGUGAGACAGUUCGGUCCCUAUCUGCCGUGGGCGCUGGAGAAUUGAGGGGGGCUGCUCCCAGUACGAGAGGACCGGAGUGGACGCAUCACUGGUGUUCGGGUUGUCAUGCCAAUGGCACUGCCCGGUAGCUAAAUGCGGAAGAGAUAAGUGCUGAAAGCAUCUAAGCACGAAACUUGCCCCGAGAUGAGUUCUCCCUGAGACUAUAAGUCUCCUGAAGGAACGUUGAAGACGACGACGUUGAUAGGCCGGGUGUGUAAGCGCAGCGAUGCGUUGAGCUAACCGGUACUAAUGAACCGUGAGGCUUAACCUU
rnacentral:rRNA from 1 species